GAGAGAGAGAGAGAGAGACGAGGAAGACGACGAGACAAUGAUGAAAAGAAAAUAGAAGGAUAAACAAAGACAAAAAAAAAUGAAGAGAAGAAAUGAGAAGAAUAGAAGAAGAUAGGGAAAGGAAGAGAGGAGGACACAAAGAAAGAAAAAAAAGGAGAGAAAAUAAACACAAAGAAAGAUGCACAGAAAGGUAACAAGCGAUAGAGAAAAGGAGGUAAAGAGAGAGAGGGAGAGAGACGGGGAGAAUAGAGGAAAGGAGGAAAAAAGAGAAUAAAAAAGAAAAUAUAAACAAAGGAUGGAUAGAAGGAUAGGAUAGAGGAGAGCCAGGGAGAGAGAGAGAGAGAGAGAGAGGAAGGGACAGUGGAGGAAUGGAGGGAAGGAGAGAGAGUGAGAGAGAGAGAGGGAGAGGGAGGGAGAGGAGGCGCGGUGGCAGGAUGGGAUUCCAGUCAGUUGCCUCUCAACUCUGGCCUCGAGCACAUUGGUUAGCUCUUCCUUGCAGUGCCAUCUCUCUCUCACUCUCACGCCCGCACACGCCUCUCCCACGCACUCACACGCCUUCCCUCCACGCCUUGGCCCCUUCCACGCCCCGCCGGACCCUCCACGCGACUCCAGCGGCGUGUAAACUCUGAGAAACAUGAUAAGUGUGGAGUAAACUUGGUGCCCGAAAGGAGAUAUCAAAUAUAUGAUUUUUACAUUACGAUCGUGACACCCAAACGAGAUCUGUGCUUGCGUGUGUGCGUCUGGCGUACGUUUGCGUGUGUUCCGCGGGUGUUGCGUGUGUUGCGUGUGCGUCUAGAGUGCUUCAGUGUCCUUAGACGUGGAGGGGAAACACGCAGACUGAAGGGAAACAGAUUUUUGGGGGAAACGUGAGAAGAGGUGGGGAAAAGAUUGGUUUCAAGAGUGUGACAGAGUUUGAUUUUGUUCCCGUCUUCCUCAUCUUGUAAGUCUCCGGCACGGCGACACCAUGAACGCAGAGCACAACACACUCCCCAUUGGCCCAACACUGUGACGUCACACCUCUGCUUAGCCAAUCAGCGUCCACGCCAUGGCCCGCGGCGGGGAGGGAAGGUGGUGACCCGCCCCUGACCUCGUGUUCGGAGCCCCCGCUAAGGUCAAAGGUCAAAGUCGCCCGCCCACAUCCCCGCCCACUCUCUCGCGUGCCGCCCACCCGCCAUGGCAGCUGAGAAGGGGUGUCGACCCAUGACCAUCACUCAAAUUCGUGAUUCCGACAGGGUCAACAAAGUAUUUGGAGGUUAAGGUGAAAAUGGCGGAAAAGGCGAAGGUAGCAGUAGAAGGCGCCAUGCAAAACAACCAUCAGCCACGUAGACGCAUGGUGUACCAAGGU